rnacentral:lncRNA from 1 species
CUUUGCACGGAAUCUUCCGUACUGGCAAGGUUUUGCCAGGCUUGUUUGCCUCAAAGCUCUUUUCUUUAAAUUUCUCCUGCAGGGUCUCAGCUAACCGACAAAGCAAGGCACCAUUAUCCAAUUUCUCCAUAAAGGUUUCUGCUGUUAUUUCUCUACCCAGUAAGUUUGUGAGCCACAGGGCCAAAUCCUCUUUCAUCGGCAACAAGUUGGCCUCAUGUCUGCUGGCAAGCCACUGACUGUAUUGGUGCAUAUCAGAGAGGCCAGGCCCACGUGUUUUUGGGCUCAGAGCAGUGUACAUUGCUUAUCCACUGGUUGUACCUGUUUUAGUACUUUCCCACGCGCGCCGCGAUCUCUCCGGCCUCGUCCUCCUGCCCCUGCCUCACCCAGGGCUCCGCCGACCGGACCCGCAGCUGUGCCGGCAGGAGCGGGAGAGGUACCCAGAGCCCAGGAGACUGCCCCGCUCCGCCCCGCGUUCACCCCCCGCCGAGCCCGGCUGCGCUGUCCUCGGGGCCUCUCCGCAACGCGCAACGCGGCUGAGCUAAUAGCUUUGCCAUAAGUGCCGCGAGCGGGGCUCCC